AAAUUACCGAGAGCAGAAAAUUGUACACUUUCUCGCCCGUGUUAUGGAAACUUGUCAUCAGGGUUAUCCAUGAUAGUAUAUUAAAAGCCUAGAUGACAGGGUUGAUAUCAAAAGUAAUAUAUGCAAUUUAUGGUAGUCAUAAUACUUACACUAAAUACCAAGAAAAUAGAAAGAAAUAUAUUUUUAUUUAAAGUAGUAGACGAAUUAAAAAAGAAUUGGCAAUUUGAUAAUAGCUACCAUAGAAUAUUUGAAAAAUGGUUUGUACUUAAAUGUUUGAAGGAAACGUUAUUUUGAAUGGAGCGGGAGUAUAUAGUAAAAAUGGAUAGACACAGAGUUGAUUUUUCUUCUUAUUGCUCACACGUGCGGUUUACCAGAAAUGACUUGAAUAUGACGUUGGGCUGCAAACUUUUUGAUAGGUAUCUAAUUGCCAAGGAAACAAUAAAAUGUAUUAACAUCGCUGAGCGGUGCUUGGAAGAAAAACUAUAUACAAGUUACACAGGCUGUGACGUCAGAAACAAAGAAUAGGCGAAAGAAAGGAAAACCAAAGCAUUUGGAGACUUAUAAUUAUGCACAAGUUACUUUGCGCACAAAGGUUUGCUUAUUUGCUGUGCUGACGUUAUAGCCGAUUCGAUCAAAUUCGCCAAAAACAAAGUGGCAGUUUGGGGAUGCGCCGCAUUUGUUUUCUCUAUAUCGGACAACCUGACGUUCACUUUGUAUAAAUGGCAAAUUUAGGGACAAAUUGCCUGACAACUUGCCCGUAUAAACCUUGAGUUAAAAAAACGCGAGUUAGAUCGAUAACAUCGUUUAUCAUCACGAAUCCAAGUAUUACUAUACUUUUACGAGCAUUAUAAAAUUGGCUAUUUUGUAAGACAAACAUUCCUUAUUUUCUCUAUGCAUUUUUAAAUUUCAUUACGAUGUUAAAAAAAACGGAAUAUUUAAAUUGAACAUUUAAUCAGUUUAAGUGGAGUUUGCCACAUUCGUGUUAUGGUAAGAACUUAAAUGUUAGAAUCAACUUUUAUUGUUUAAACCCACCGGAAGACUAGAGCAAUAAAAGGAAUGUAUAGUAUUCUGAUAUCCAUUAGUUUAUUUGUUUCUUCUGAACUAACGUUUCCCUUGUAGGAAAAACGCCAAUUGCACUAGUUGGAGUUGAAGUGAGUAUUUAUGAAUGCAUCUAU